AACGAACGCUGGCGGCAGGCUUAACACAUGCAAGUCGAACGCUGUAGCAAUACAGAGUGGCGCACGGGUGAGUAACGCGUGGGAACGUGCCCUUUAGUACGGGAUAACAUCGGGAAACUGAUGCUAAUACCGUAUAUUCCCUGAGGGGGAAAGAUUUAUCGCUAAAGGAUCGGCCCGCGUUAGAUUAGGUAGUUGGUGGGGUAAUGGCCUACCAAGCCUACGAUCUAUAGCCGGUCUGAGAGGACGAUCGGCCACACUGGAACUGAGACACGGUCCAGACUCCUACGGGAGGCAGCAGUGGGGAAUAUUGGUCAAUGGGGGAAACCCUGAACCAGCCAUGCCGCGUGAGUGAUGAAGGCCUUAGGGUUGUAAAGCUCUUUCACCGGUGAGGAUAAUGACGGUAACCGGAAAAGAAGCCCCGGCUAACUUCGUGCCAGCCGCCGCCGUAA
rnacentral:rRNA from 1 species